GCACUCCCAGGGAGACAGGGGACGGGCCUGGCGCCGGAGAGGAGCCCGCACUCUGCCCGAAGUCUCGCCGCCCGCCGGCUGUUUUCUGGCGGAGGGUGCGCCCCGGAGGGCGGCGAGCGCGGGUGGAGGCUGCGGCCAGGCGCGGGUGGAGGCGUCGCCGGGGUCGGGCUAGCAGGCUCUGGGAUCGGGCUUGUGGGACACCCCGAAAAUAAAGACGCAGAGCCUCAGAGAAGUUAAACGAUUGAUCCUAUGUCAGGGGGUAGAGUCAAGACUCAUACCUAUGCCUUUUAACUUCAAGAUUGGACGACUGAUUAUUGGACAGAAUGGCAUCUUGUCGACACCUGCGGUCUCCUGCAUUAUCAGGAAGAUCAAGGCAGCUGGUGGAAUCAUUCUAACAGCCAGCCACUGCCCUGGAGGACCAGGGGGAGAGUUUGGAGUGAAGUUUAAUGUUGCCAAUGGAGGGCAGACUUCUUGGAGGAAGUGAAAUUUGAACUGCGAUGUGAAGAAUGAGCAGGAGUUAGUGAGGUGAAGAAGAGAGAAGGAGUGUUGCAAACACAGGUCAGUCUGUGCAAAGGCCCUGAGACACAAGGAGCCUAGAACCACGGCUCGAAGACAACCAUCUGGCUGGGGCAUGGCUCGUCUUACAGAUCACAUUAAGGAACAAAUAAUUAUGUUAAGAGUUAUGGGCUGCCAUUAAGGAUUUGGAUAAGAGAGUCUUACAAUCACAUCUGUGUUUUCUAAAGGCCUGACACUGAUUGGU